AUCAUAUCUCUGCCAACAGUCAGGUUAAGCACGCUGCCACGUUGCAACUGUUUUUUUUUUCUUUCCUCGCUCAUUAUUAUUAUUAUUAUUAAAGCUCCACUUUAAAUCAAGAUUUGGAUAAAGUCUGGAUAAAGAUUUGUUUCCAUUAUAUUAGGAAGGAUUGUGAAGCAGUCUGCUGGUAGGAGCGACUUGGACUGAAGCGCGUGCAGCUCUGCUGACUCACACCAUGUCACAGCUCCACUUUGCUCCGUCUGUAUGAAGCACUUGGCUGCUACCUUAAUGCAAGUUCUGGAUGCAUGAGGAGCAGAAACGGCCAUCGGCUGCAUGAAGCUGGUUUAAAUCUGCAGGGCACAAAUUAAAGUUUGAGAGGUCAGGCAGCCUGUAUGUCUCACACUGAAGUGUCUCUGAGUGAGGUUUUAUAUCCGACUCGCAUCUCCUGAACGGAAGCUGAGAUAAACUGCUGCUGUCAAGAUGGCCGGCCCUGAUUCGUCCCCCUUUACGGCUGAGGUGUGAUUCUGUCUCUCUCAGCAGAGCCGCAACCGCAAGCAAAUGCUCUGGGCCCUAAAGACGACGCCGGCCCUGAGGCUCGCCGCGUGAGAGCCGAGAUCAGAGAGGCGCUGCCCCGUUCUCCGUUCCUGCUCCAAAAGUGAAUUGAUUACAAGCGGCUGGCGCUUUUUGCUCGAAGAUCCCUAAGACUCUUGUUCUGAGGGAGAGAGUUUUUCAGCCUGCGUUGUUAUUUUUUUAUUUUAUUUUUCCUUUGCUCUUUGGUCAGAGAAGACUGUAAGUGCUGGAGGAGAUUUGUGCAGGACAAAUUAGCCUUACCAUAGAUAACCAUCCACCGAGUAGGGAAUAAGGUCACGCCUGAAGCCAUUAUGGGGACAUGAGAGGUUUUUCCUUGGCAAGAAACUGCCAAGUAUGCAACUAUUAGAAAGCCACAUAAGUUUCUAGGGGAUUAAUAAUAGCUGGAGCAAGUAGCUUUAAAGAAAGAAGGACGUGGAGACACAGCUCCUCAGCUCUGACUUGGUUAUUUUUUUAUUUUUUAUUUUUUUGACAGCGCUUGAGGAGUAAAAUUUGUGUUCAUGUUUCUGAGGUUCUGGUGAGUUUUCUGGCUUAUGAAUAAAAAAUUUUAAAAAACGGUGCUAGCGGCAAAUUGAUUUCAUUUAUUUUAUUUCACUUAUUAGCUGACAGGAACAAAACCACACAAACACAGAGCAGAACAAGUCCGCAACUGUAUCAGCACACCAGCUGCCGCUAACUUACAACUCCAGUCCUCCGGUUGGG